AUGCUCUACUACACGGCCUUGUCAGUCGAGUGGUACCAGAAGACAAAUUGGAGGAGACAACAAUGGGGAUAGCCAAUCGUAUAUGUGAGACCAGUAAAAGUGUAGUGGCUCUAGGGAAGGCGACAUUCUACACUCAGAUGAACCUAGAGAGGAAAGAGGCAUAUACAUUGACGUCUCAGGUCAUGGUUGAGAAUCUGUCGCUAGGCGACGGGCAGGAGGGAAUCCGAGCCUUCAUAGAGAAACGGAAACCAUCUUGGAGUCAUGAUGCGAAAAAGGUUCAUUAGUUAUUGAACACCACGUGGUCUGAUAAUUAUCGAGGUCGUGUGUCAUGUGCCAUAAUUAUCCUGCUGUAAGCUGGUCUGGUAAGAAACCCAUCAAUCAUUUGUAAUACAGUAGAAUGAUAAAUAUCAACAUAUGAAAUUCUGUUUUAUUCCCACUUUCUAUCUUUGAGUCUAAGAUAAUGUUUUAUCUCCCUGAGUUAAUUGUAGCGUAAAGUGACAUCAUAUUAAAAACAUUGAUUUUGAUAAUGAUUGCUGAUAUUUCAUUAACAUUUCGAUGCUGUCCCCAUAUUCACAGUCAGUUUCCAGCGUCCAGCUUGACCAUUUUUUUUGGUUCAAGAACCCUCUAUCAAAAUCAGUGCUGAUAACGUCUUGCAAUAGUUUUGAAAACGAGGUGGUUCAUUUUGUAAACUCGAACACAUGAUAGCGGGUUUGACGGUAACGACAAUGUCAGUAAAUCCCAUUUUUCAGCACUGGAUAUUGUUAUGGGCGUUGUUAUUUGAUAUAUUUUUAGUUAUUUCAGAAUUAUGAAUGCAGUAACAUUAACCGUAAACUGAUUCAGAAGGGAAGCCAUUUCUGUUUACGGAUGACAGUGUUUCGUGCGCAUGCGUUAUCAUAUGGUGCACACAUUUAUAGGUCUUAAUACUUGAUCAAGAGAUAAGGAUUUUUUUUUAUAAUUAUUAAUUAACAUUUUUAUGUGCACAUUUCAUUAAAACCACCUGUCAUUGUUCAUAACUUGAUGUAUAUAUGCAAUAAUAAAAAAACAAUCAGUGAAAAGGUAUAUUUAUGGUGAUUUAGCACUAAUUAUGGUAAAUAUUGUAACAUCAGUCCAAAUUCAUCAGAGAUCAUUUACUAAGAAACUUUAAAGUUAUUCUAAAUACUGAAAUAAAAUGCUGUAUAUGCAUAAAUCCUAAAAUGUAAUACACGGGUACAGACUACUAAUGAGAUAUAACAAUUCUCAGGAUCUUGAAAACAGAAAUUUGUUCAUACACAGGAGUUUUCUUUGGAAUAUAAUAAGACAUUAAAUGAAUGGUAGGAUCCUUUAUUUUCUCACAACUUUUCUCUUCUCCAUGAAAAUUAUUCAGAAAUUUGUACUUUCCCUUAAUUAAUAUUAAUUAUGCUUUCCAUUUACACUACAGAAGUGAAUUUUUAUAUCGGAAUAAAUCUGACCAACAAUGAAUACAACUCCAUGGAACACAUUGAUAGAAUAUACAGGAGCCCAUGUUUUAAACAAAAAUUUGUGGCCUUGAGUAGCUUUUUGUUCAUGACUGCAUAUAGAAAAUUUGAGUAAGCAUACAAUGGGAUGUUAAACGUUCAUAGCCGCUAUGUAAGGGUAUAUGUGUAAUUUUUUGCAAAUUACAAAUUGUUUUGCAAUUAAGAAUUCCCUUCGUUUUAAAGGCGGUUUUUAUUUUUUUCUAUAAACAAUGUGUCAUUGGAUUUUAUGUUAAUGUGUAUAUAAUAUACAUACAUGUACUGAACAGCUGUUUAAAUUCGCAGGGCUAAUAUUUGGCAGAAUUUUCAUGGUUUGGAUUUGUUUUAAAUUUGUAUUUAAUUUCAUGCAAGUUUUGUGAACUGGUGUUUUUCAUGUAUACAGAUAAAACAGUUAUUUUUUACGUUUUUUCAGUGUAAAAAUUGUUUGCUGGGUAUUUGAUUUGAUAUUAUCUUCAUUGAUGGCAAAAAAAGCCAGAUUAAAUCCCCUACAAAUAUUAUCAACUAUACAGUAUUUUCUUUUAUUUCACAGAAAGGAACACCUUAGCAUAUUAACUAACUUUGACAGUGAAAAAUCUCAUGUACAUCUUUUGUCUUAUUUGAAUGACUUGGGGUCAAAAUUAUACAAAAUCAUAUCAAAAGUAGUCAAUUUAGAAGACAAGAAAUGCUGAUAUGUCAGAUUAAUAUUAAACUACAUGUUUCUUCCCAUAUAAUUUCUAUCCGAGUUCCUACAUGUUUGUUCCUGGCAUCACCAAGUGGUUCUCAAAGGAAGAAAAUACUGUUUAUAUACAUACUGAUAUAUAACAAAUAUUAGUAUCAUGAUUUAAAGGUGCUUUUCACAUAUGCCUGUCACUUUUCAAUUCCAAAAAUCUAAAUAUUUUACAUGUCUGAUGUUGUUAAUUAAUUAAAAGGAAACUGUUUAGAAAUAAAACUCCAAUUGCCAGUGUAUCAAUAUGUUUGCUAGUAGUUUAGGUUUCCAAGGAUUAUUUCAAGAGUAGAUGAAACCAGCUUCCUGCCACAGCAGCAGAAAUUAUAUAUUGAUAAUGAAAUUAAGUUUAAUUACAAACUUUGCAUUGAUAAAGUUAUUUUUGUUUUACUGAUGGAAAUGCAAUUAUCUGUGAUAAAUAAAAUA